CCUGCUCUUUUAUGAAAAGCGCUGUGAGAUAACUGUUGUUGUGAUUUGGCGCUAUAUAAAUAAAAUUGAAUUGAAUUGAAUUGAUGCAGAAAGAGCUGAAACAUUUCCUCAGAGUCUGCAGAGGACUCUGAGCUGAAGGGCUGUAGUUCAGGUUUCAGGCCGUCUCCACGAUGCCGAGACCAUCAGGAUCUAAUUUCCCCAGGUCUGAACUGAGAACAGCAGGAGAGAGAUCCCACGCAGCUGAAAGCUUCAUGUCAGCCCAUGAGCUUUAAAGCCAGGCGUGCAGGUGACUCUCUGCAGUGACGACAGAGGUGACAAACUUUAGACAUGAAAAGGAUUCAGGACUGUCCAGGUGACGCGACUUCUACCAGGUGACGCUUCUUUGUUUGUUUCUUCUUUGUUUGUUGUAAUUUCAGCCACAGGAGGCCGAAGCUUCGGCCCACGCCGUCUCACCAACGGAAGCGUCCGUGUUGUCUUCAUGUUGUCAUUAGUAUUUCCUGCUAGUGUUUUCGUGUUCGCUCUUCCACAGAUGUUUCAUUGUAUUUUCGUAGCCUAAAUUAAAAGUGCUGUGGUUAUUGAAAGAGAAGAGAGACCAUCACCUAACUUUCAUUGGUUCACCUGGAAGCUAAGGGUUAACUCUCCUCACCUGUUGCUGACCGCAGUUCAGCUAACGGCCACCGGGGUUUCUGAAAGUUCCAGGUGGACCCUUUGAAGGCUCCUAACGGUUUCCAGAUGACCAGGUAACAAAGGCCAGACAGCCAAAGAUCAGGUGUGAUGUAACGUCUCAGUGCAUCUACCUGCACACAAGGUGUGACACCUGACUGACGGAUUUAUCGGGCGCCAUCCUCACUGGGAAGAAGAACGACAGAAAUCAGGAGCGUUUGACUUAAUGUUGAUCUUUCUUCUGUGACAUGAACACGGUUUAAUAAUCGUAAACGCUGCAGACACACAGCUGGCUGAACGGAGCACCGUCCCUCAGUUUUCACCCUAAAGGUCUGAUGGGAGUUUAGAUGGCGCCUGGUUUGAAUCUGUAACCAGCAGGUGGAGAAUAACGUGUCCUGUUUCUUCGAGGCAGAGUCACAGACGCAACAGACAAUAAACAUCUUUUGAAUUAAA